rnacentral:rRNA from 1 species
UACGGAGGGUGCAAGCGUUAUCCGGAUUUACUGGGUUUAAAGGGUGUGUAGGCGGGCCAUUAAGUCAGGGGUGAAAUCCCGGAGCUCAACUCCGGAACUGCCUUUGAUACUAUUGGUCUUGAAUGUUGUUGAGGUGGGCGGAACGGGUCAUGUAGCGGUGAAAUGCAUAGAUAUGACCCGGAACACCGAUUGCGAAGGCAGCCCGCUAAGCAACUAUUGACGCUGAGGCACGAAAGUCAGGGGAGCGAACGGG